rnacentral:rRNA from 1 species
GACGAACGCUGGCGGCGUGCUUAACACAUGCAAGUCGUACGGUAAGGCCCUUUCGGGGGUACACGAGUGGCGAACGGGUGAGUAACACGUGAGUAACCUGCCCACAACUUUGGGAUAACGCUAGGAAACUGGUGCUAAUACUGGAUAUGUGCUCCUGCUGCAUGGUGGGGGUUGGAAAGCUCCGGCGGUUGUGGAUGGACUCGCGGCCUAUCAGCUUGUUGGUGGGGUAGUGGCCUACCAAGGCGGCGACGGGUAGCCGGCCUGAGAGGGUGACCGGCCACAUUGGGACUGAGAUACGGCCCAGACUCCUACGGGAGGCAGCAGUGGGGAAUAUGGCACAAUGGGCGCACGCCUGAUGCAGAAACGCCGCGUCCGGGAUAACGGCGUUCGGGUUGUAAACCGCUUUCAGCAGGGACGAAGCUUUUUGUGACGGUACCUGAAGAAGAAGCACCGGCUAACUACGUG